rnacentral:piRNA from 1 species
UGGAUUGUGGAUGUACCACAGGGCU